rnacentral:lncRNA from 1 species
CUACUCAUUUCAAAAUCAAAACAAACCUUAUGUCAUGUUGGCUGUCGUGAUUCUGGUUAAUUUCUUCGCAAAAUGAAUGGUCUGUUUAGAAAAUUUGUUUCUGGCAAUUUGCAAGCUACUUAAUAUUUAUCUUUUUCAUCAAAUUGGAAACCCCACUAGAAAUGAAAACCACAUUUUCUUUUGACAUCUGAUUAACCAGCCAAAUAGAGGCCAUUGUCAGCAGUUUUAAUUUAGGUUGUUUUAUUGAGCGUCAUCCCUCAGCCAAAUAUUAAUAUAUAUUGUCUCGACAUUGACGCCCAUUUCUGGAAACAAAGGCUGAUAAACAAAGUUGGAAUCAACAGUUGGAACAGAAAUGGCGCAAUAAAAACCCGACAUGAUACGUUUAGUACGCCUUGGAAGUUGUUGCACUGAUUUUAGUCAACAUUGAUGAUGUAUUGUGCCGGGGUGUGUUACCUGAAAAAUCACAAACUAUCCACUCGUCGAUCCGAGUGUAGCGCGUGCGAUGUUUGCGGUUUCCUUCCAUUCCGAUUCAACAAAUAAGUUUCCUGGUUUGCCAUUUUGUUGUUUCUCAUCUUUCGUUUCGUAUAAUUUGUAUUCUUUUGCGCUUUAGCACGUGCAGAUGUAGACGAAAUGAUUUGGUGAAUAUAAGAAAUGAAGAAA